rnacentral:rRNA from 1 species
GGCCGCGGGAAUUCGAUUCAGGCCUAACACAUGCAAGUCGAGCGGACCGACGGGAGCUUGCUCCCUUAGGUCAGCGGCGGACGGGUGAGUAACACGUGGGUAACCUGCCUGUAAGACUGGGAUAACUCCGGGAAACCGGGGCUAAUACCGGAUGCUUGAUUGAACCGCAUGGUUCAAUCAUAAAAGGUGGCUUUUAGCUACCACUUGCAGAUGGACCCGCGGCGCAUUAGCUAGUUGGUGAGGUAACGGCUCACCAAGGCGACGAUGCGUAGCCGACCUGAGAGGGUGAUCGGCCACACUGGGACUGAGACACGGCCCAGACUCCUACGGGAGGCAGCAGUAGGGAAUCUUCCGCAAUGGACGAAAGUCUGACGGAGCAAAAAGCGCGUGAGUGAUGAAGGUUUUCGGAUCGUAAAACUCAAGGAUAGGGAAGAACAAGUACCGUCGAAUAGGGCGGCACCUGAC